UACGGAGGGUGCAAGCGUUGUCCGGAUUUAUUGGGUUUAAAGGGUGCGUAGGCGGCCCGUUAAGUCAGUGGUGAAAGCCUCCAGCUCAACUGGAGAACUGCCAUUGAUACUGGCGGGCUUGAGUACAGACGAGGUAGGCGGAAUUGAUUGUGUAGCGGUGAAAUGCAUAGAUACAAUCAAGAACACCGAUUGCGUAGGCAGCUUACUAGGCUGUAACUGACGCUGAGGCACGAAAGCGUGAGGAGCGAACAGG
rnacentral:rRNA from 1 species